UCAUGGCGUCAGGAUGAACGCUGGCGGCGUGCUUAACACAUGCAAGUCGAGCGAAGCGCCCGAGUUGAUUCUUCGGAUUGAAACAAGGGAUGACUGAGCGGCGGACGGGUGAGUAACGCGUGGGUAACCUGCCUCAUACAGGGGGAUAACAGUUAGAAAUGACUGCUAAUACCGCAUAAGCGCACAGUACGGCAUCGUACAGUGUGAAAAACUCCGGUGGUAUGAGAUGGACCCGCGUCGGAUUAGCCAGUUGGCGGGGUAACGGCCCACCAAAGCGACGAUCCGUAGCCGGCCUGAGAGGGCGACCGGCCACAUUGGGACUGAGACACGGCCCAAACUCCUACGGGAGGCAGCAGUGGGGAAUAUUGCACAAUGGGGGAAACCCUGAUGCAGCGACGCCGCGUGAGUGAUGAAGUAUUUCGGUACGUAAAGCUCUAUCAGCAGGGAAGAAGACGACGGUACCUGACUAAGAAGCCCCGGCUAACUACGUGCCAGCCGCUGC
rnacentral:rRNA from 1 species